rnacentral:rRNA from 1 species
CCUACGGGGGGCAGCAGUGAGGAAUAUUGGUCAAUGGGCGCGAGCCUGAACCAGCCAAGUAGCGUGAAGGAUGACUGCCCUACGGGUUGUAAACUUCUUUUAUAAAGGAAUAAAGUGAGGCACGUGUGCCUUUUUGGAUGUACUUUAUGAAUAAGGAUCGGCUAACGCCGUGCCAGCAGCCGCGGUAAUACGGAGGAUCCGAGCGUUAUCCGGAUUUAUUGGGUUUAAAGGGAGCGUAGAUGGGUUGUUAAGUCCGUUGUGAACGUUUGCGGCUCAACCGUAAAAUUGCACUUGAUACUGGCAGUCUUUCGUACAGUUGCGGUAGGCGGAAUUCGUGUUGUAGCGG